rnacentral:rRNA from 1 species
CAGUCGCCGCGGGAAUACGUAGGGUGCGAGCGUUAAUCGGAAUUACUGGGCGUAAAGCGUGCGCAGGCGGUUCGUUAAGACAGAUGUGAAAUCCCCGGGCUUAACCUGGGAACUGCAUUUGUGACUGACGGGCUAGAGUAUGGCAGAGGGGGGUAGAAUUCCACGUGUAGCAGUGAAAUGCGUAGAGAUGUGGAGGAAUACCGAUGGCGAAGGCAGCCCCCUGGGCCAAUACUGACGCUCAUGCACGAAAGCGUGGGGAGCAAACAGGAUUAGAUACCCCCGUAGUCCCUGUCUCUUAUAA